rnacentral:rRNA from 1 species
AAUAGAGACUCAGAGCUGCAUAUCAAUAAGCGGAGGAAAAGAAACUAACAAGGAUUCCCUUAGUAACGGCGAGUGAAGCGGGAAGAGCUCAAAUUUGAAAUCUUCCAAGGUUCUACCUUGACGAAUUGUAGUUUAAAGAAGUGUUUUCUGUUAGAUGAGUAGCAAAAGUUCCUUGGAAUGGGACAUCAUAGAGGGUGAGAAUCCCGUAUUUGGUUAUUCAUUCUAGCUUUGUGAUACACUUUCAAAGAGUCGGAUUGUUUGGGAAUGCAGUCCAAAAUGGGUGGUAAAUUUCAUCUAAAGCUAAAUAUUGGCGAGAGACCGAUAGCGAACAAGUACCGUGAGGGAAAGAUGAAAAGAACUUUGAAAAGAGAGUUAAACAGUACGUGAAAUUGUCAAAAGGGAAGCGUUUGACACCAGUGUUGUUUUUCCGAAAAUCAAUUACGAAUGGCUUGAUUCUGUGUUGUAUUGACCUUAUCAGCUUUCUUCACUUUCUUCGAGUCUUUCUUAAUGCACUUUUCGGUUAACAAGUCAACAUCAAUUUCUUUUGUUGUAAAAGAGUAUUCGGAAGGUGGCUUUCUUUUCGGAGAAAGUGUUUAUAGCCCUAUACUUCUACAAUCGGAGAGAUUGAGGUCUGCAGCGUAGAUCCUUCGGGGUUAGAUACACUUGUGCUAAGUUGUAGCUUUUCAUAGACAACUUGUUGACUAUGUUUAGUCAUGCGGCUUACUCGCUUAUGCUAUUUUACCUACGCUAGGAUGUUGAAGUCAUCGUAUCGCGC